rnacentral:lncRNA from 1 species
GCGGUCAAAAACAAUCCGCCCGCCCCUUCCCAUCCUACCACGGAACUGGUAACUUUCCUCCUCGAAUUGUGGUGGCAGUAUACCAGCGUCUGCUAACUCUCUCGCUUCCAGUGGCUUCGUGAACAGCAUCACCGGUUCCAUAGUAUCGAUGGAUCGAAUCGGGAACUACGCAAACACCAGAGCCACAUCAAGUUCCAACAAAAGUGAAAGCAAAAGAGAGCCAGCCACAGUACCUUUCUAGCUGGUCGUCCUCUCGACAGAGGUAAGCGUUUCUUGCGCUUCUUUCUCAAGGGGUCCAUCCUGUCCACUAAGGAGUUUUCCAGCAUGGGGUUGGCAUAGUCGUAGGCGUCCCCGUUCAUCUGGUCCGUGCCUGCUUGCAAGUCGUCACUACGCUUUGGAAACAAGAGUUUCCGGGGCACUGUUGGUGGGAACAGGGAUGCGCUGUUGAGGAACGACGUGUCCUCGUCGGCUUUGGAUUCGUGCUGUUUGUGAAGUUACGAGAGAGAGAAAGAGCUCACUUUCCAUAACAGGGGCGACGAAAACAAAAGUCACAGCUACCUU